AAUAGAUACCCUGGUAGUCCACGCCGUAAACGAUGAGUGCUAAGUGUUAGAGGGUUUCCGCCCUUUAGUGCUGCAGCUAACGCAUUAAGCACUCCGCCUGGGGAGUACGGCCGCAAGGCUGAAACUCAAAGGAAUUGACGGGGGCCCGCACAAGCGGUGGAGCAUGUGGUUUAAUUCGAAGCAACGCGAAGAACCUUACCAGGUCUUGACAUCCUCUGCCAACCCUAGAGAUAGGGCGUUCCCCUUCGGGGGACAGAGUGACAGGUGGUGCAUGGUUGUCGUCAGCUCGUGUCGUGAGAUGUUGGGUUAAGUCCCGCAACGAGCGCAACCCUUGAUCUUAGUUGCCAGCAUUCAGUUGGGCACUCUAAGGUGACUGCCGGUGACAAACCGGAGGAAGUGGGGAUGACGUCAAAUCAUCAUGCCCCUUAUGACCUGGGCUACACACGUGCUACAAUGGAUGGUACAAAGAGUUGCGAACCCGCGAGGGUAAGCCAAUCUCAUAAAGCCAUUCUCAGUUCGGA
rnacentral:rRNA from 1 species